UGAAAAGAGAUGUACUUACAGUUAUUAG
rnacentral:sRNA from 1 species